UGGGGAAUAUUGGACAAUGGGCGCAAGCCUGAUCCAGCCAUGCCGCGUGAGUGACGAAGGCCUUAGGGUUGUAAAGCUCUUUUGGCGGGGAAGAUAAUGACGGUACCCGCAGAAUAAGCUCCGGCUAACUUCGUGCCAGCAGCCGCGGUAAUACGAAGGGAGCUAGCGUUGUUCGGAAUCACUGGGCGUAAAGCGCACGUAGGUGGGCAGUUAAGUCAGGGGUGAAAGCCCGAGGCUCAACCUCGGAAUUGCCUCUGAUACUGGCUGUCUAGAGUUCGAGAGAGGUGAGUGGAAUUCCUAGUGUAGAGGUGAAAUUCGUAGAUAUUAGGAAGAACACCGGCGGCGAAGGCGGCUCACUGGCUCGAUACUGACACUGAGGUGCGAAAGCGUGGGGAGCAAACAGGAUUAGAUACCCAGGUAGUCCCUGAGCGGGCUGGCAAGGCGCAU
rnacentral:rRNA from 1 species